rnacentral:rRNA from 1 species
GUUUGCGACGCCCAACACACAAAACAAGCGGUGAGUGCUUUGGGGUGGGGUGACUGCGUACCUUUUGUAUAAUGGGUCAGCGACUUAUAUUCUGUAGCAAGGUUAACCGAAUAGGGGAGCCGGAGGGAAACCGAGUCUUAAUUGGGCGUUAAGUUGCAGGGUAUAGACCCGAAACCCGGUGAUCUAGCCAUGGGCAGGUUGAAGGUUGGGUAACACUAACUGGAGGACCGAACCGACUAAUGUUGAAAAAUUAGCGGAUGACCUGUGGCUGGGGGUGAAAGGCCAAUCAAACCGGGAGAUAGCUGGUUCUCCCCGAAAGCUAUUUAGGUAGCGCCUCGUGAAUUCAUCUCCGGGGGUAGAGCACUGUUUCGGCUAGGGGGCCAUCCCGGCUUACCAACCCGAUGCAAACUGCGAAUACCGGAGAAUGUUAUCACGGGAGACACACGGCGGGUGCUAACGUCCGUCGUGAAGAGGGAAACAACCCAGACCGCCAGCUAAGGUCCCAAAGUCAUGGUUAAGUGGGAAACGAUGUGGGAAGGCCCAGACAGCCAGGAUGUUGGCUUAGAAGCAGCCAUCAUUUAAAGAAAGCGUAAUAGCUCACUGGUCGAGUCGGCCUGCGCGGAAGAUGUAACGGGGCUAAACCAUGCACCGAAGCUGCGGCAGCGACACUGUGUGUUGUUGGGUAGGGGAGCGUUCUGUAAGCCUGCGAAGGUGGCCUGUGAGGGUUGCUGGAGGUAUCAGAAGUGCGAAUGCUGACAUAAGUAACGAUAAAGCGGGUGAAAAGCCCGCUCGCCGGAAGACCAAGGGUUCCUGUCCAACGUUAAUCGGGGCAGGGUGAGUCGACCCCUAAGGCGAGGCCGAAAGGCGUAGUCGAUGGGAAACGGGUUAAUAUUCCCGUACUUGGUGUUACUGCGAAGGGGGGACGGAGAAGGCUAUGUUGGCCGGGCGACGGUUGUCCCGGUUUAAGCGUGUAGGUGUGUGUUCCAGGUAAAUCCGGUUCACUUUAACACUGAGGCGUGAUGACGAGGCACUACGGUGCUGAAGCAACAAAUGCCCUGCUUCCAGGAAAAGCCUCUAAGCAUCAGGUAACAUCAAAUCGUACCCCAAACCGACACAGGUGGUCAGGUAGAGAAUACCAAGGCGCUUGAGAGAACUCGGGUGAAGGAACUAGGCAAAAUGGUGCCGUAACUUCGGGAGAAGGCACGCUGACAC